AUGGUUGACACCAUUACAUCAUCAGUUUUGUUUCUUACAAGUAAUGAAUCUGACACACCUUCAGCAGUAGUUUCUCUGAAAGUAAAAUUUUCAGACACUUCCAGCUUAAACAUUCCACAGGAAUCUGUAUCUGAGAUAUCUGAUAACUCUAGAAAGCGGCUAGUCUUUGUUUAUAACAAGGGAUGCAAACCUUAUUUCCCUAGAUACAGAAACAUGGAAUACAGUUUGUAA